GACGAACGCUGGCGGCGUGCUUAACACAUGCAAGUCGAACGGAAAGGCCCUGCUUUUGUGGGGUGCUCGAGUGGCGAACGGGUGAGUAACAAGUGAGUAACCUGCCCUUGACUUUGGGAUAACUUCAGGAAACUGGGGCUAAUACCGGAUAGGAGCUCCUGCUGCAUGGUGGGGGUUGGAAAGUUUCGGCGGUUGGGGAUGGACUCGCGGCUUAUCAGCUUGUUGGUGGGGUAGUGGCUUACCAAGGCUGUGACGGGUAGCCGGCCUGAGAGGGUGACCGGCCACAUUGGGACGGAGAUACGGCCCAGACUACAACGGGAGGCAGCGGUGGAGAAUAUUGUACAAUGGGCGGAAGGCUGAUGCAGCAACGCCGCGUGCGGGAUAAGGGCCUUCGGGUUGUAAACCGCUUUCGCCUGUGACGAGGCGUGAGUGACGGUAAUGGGUAAAGAAGCACCGGCUAACUACGUG
rnacentral:rRNA from 1 species